AUACGGAGGGUGCGAGCGUUAAUCGGAAUUACUGGGCGUAAAGGGUGCGUAGGUGGUUAAAUAAGUUAUCUGUGAAAUCCCCGGGCUCAACCUGGGCAGGUCAGAUAAUACUGUUUAACUCGAGUAUGGGAGAGGGUAGUGGAAUUUCCGGUGUAGCGGUGAAAUGCGUAGAGAUCGGAAGGAACACCAGUGGCGAAGGCGGCUACCUGGCCUAAUACUGACACUGAGGCACGAAAGCGUGGGGAGC
rnacentral:rRNA from 1 species